rnacentral:rRNA from 1 species
GACGAACGCUGGCGGCGUGCUUAACACAUGCAAGUCGUACGGUAAGGCCCUUUCGGGGGUACACGAGUGGCGAACGGGUGAGUAACACGUGAGUAACCUGCCCACAACUUUGGGAUAACGCUAGGAAACUGGUGCUAAUACUGGAUAUGUGCUCCUGCUGCAUGGUGGGGGUUGGAAAGCUCCGGCGGUUGUGGAUGGACUCGCGGCCUAUCAGCUUGUUGGUGGGGUAGUGGCCUACCAAGGCGGCGACGGGUAGCCGGCCUGAGAGGGUGACCGGCCACAUUGGGACUGAGAUACGGCCCAGACGCCUACGGGAGGCAGCAGUGGGGAAUAUUGCACAAUGGGCGCAAGCCGGAUGCAGCAACGCCGCGUGCGGGAUGACGGCCUUCGGGUUGUAAACCGCUUUCAGCAGGGACGAAGCUUUUUGUGACGGUACCUGCAGAAGAAGCACCGGCUAACUACGUG